rnacentral:lncRNA from 1 species
CAGAAAUAACAUGAAGGGUGGGAUUAAGGCACCUGAAACUUCAGGGAACCAGAGGCAGCAGACACGACACAUGAUGUUGCUAUGAACCUGAGCCCCAGAGUAAGAGCUGGAGGCCAUCUGAAGUUCAAGCAGAAAAUCUAAGAUCCUGUGGAGAAGAACUUAAAGGCAUCUAGUGCUGAGGCUUACAUUCCAACAAGAGACUGGGAGCUUAAAAAUUAGGAGCUGUGGCACCUUACACGAAGGAAAAAAUAGUGGGGAUGCAAAGUCCAGUGUUAAGAGGUACAUGCUGCUACAGCACCAGACUUUGGCGAUCAGGACAUGGUUUAUAUAGCUGAGAGGCUGAGGAACACUCAGGACAGUUACCUGCCAGCUGGGUCACUCUGCUCCCAAAUAC